UGGCGAUUAGCUCAGUUGGGAGAGCACCUCCCUUACAAGGAGGGGUCACUGGUUCGAGACCGGUAUCGCCCACCA
rnacentral:tRNA from 1 species